GUGGGGAAUCUUAGACAAUGGGGGAAACCCUGAUCUAGCCAUGCCGCGUGAGCGAUGAAGGCCUUAGGGUUGUAAAGCUCUUUCAGCUGGGAAGAUAAUGACGGUACCAGCAGAAGAAGCCCCGGCUAACUCCGUGCCAGCAGCCGCGGUAAUACGGAGGGGGCUAGCGUUGUUCGGAAUUACUGGGCGUAAAGCGCACGUAGGCGGACCGGAAAGUCAGAGGUGAAAUCCCAGGGCUCAACCUUGGAACUGCCUUUGAAACUCCUGGUCUUGAGGUCGAGAGAGGUGAGUGGAAUUCCGAGUGUAGAGGUGAAAUUCGUAGAUAUUCGGAGGAACACCAGUGGCGAAGGCGGCUCACUGGCUCGAUACUGACGCUGAGGUGCGAAAGCGUGGGGAGCAAACAGGAUUAGAAACCCUAGUAGUCC
rnacentral:rRNA from 1 species